UACGGGGGGGGCAAGCGUUGUUCGGAAUUACUGGGCGUAAAGGGCUCGUAGGCGGCCAACUAAGUCAGACGUGAAAUCCCUCGGCUUAACCGGGGAACUGCGUCUGAUACUGGAUGGCUUGAGUUUGGGAGAGGGAUGCGGAAUUCCAGGUGUAGCGGUGAAAUGCGCAGAUAUCGGGAGGAACACCAACGGCGAAGGCAGCACUCUGGGCCGGUACUGACGCUGAGGAGCGAAAGCGUGGGGAGCGAACAGG
rnacentral:rRNA from 1 species